AUCCCGUCGCGCAAGCGAUGGGAUGCCGAUGACGCGGCAACGCGUCAUCAACCGGUUGGCCGAAACAAACCGCACCAUUCCUGAUCCGAAAGGUGUCUGUGAUAUUUGCUGAUGAAUCGUGAGUACAUCCCGCUUGGAGCGGGAUAAAGGGAUGCGCAGCAAGUUCCAGGGGAUGGAAUUCAUGCUGAAAAAAGUUCCAAUGAUCGGAACUUUUGCCAAUAUGCCUCGGCUUCAAGGCGGGGGCAUAGCUCAGUUGGUAGAGCGGCAGCUUUGCAAGCUGUAGGUCAGGGGUUCGAAUCCCCUUGCCUCCACUCCGAUGCGCAAGGCGCGAUCGGAGUGCCUCGCCGGAGCCGAAGGGCGAAGGCGGGCAUGCUUCUACGGGCGUGUAGCUCAGUUGGUUAGAGCGCGUCCCUGAUAAGGACGAGGUCCCUGAUUCGAAUUCAGGCACGCCCACCAUGCUUCGCUCUGCGGCCCCUCGGCCUUGAGCUUCGCAUGGCGCAGCCACGCCGAGCGAUGCAUGCCCUGCGUAGCCCGGGCCCGCUACUCACGACAAACGAUUUCUCCAUGAAGGUUGCCCGUGAGGCGGCCGGCUACGGAGUCGUUCUUUGAAAAUUGCAUAGUGAUUUGGGUAAAUACAAGUUCAUCGAAGAUCGAUGAUAGAGAAGAAAGAUCAGUAGAGAACCAACAGACCAAUUUAUUUGGUCAAGCAAAGUACGAGCGCACGGUGAAUGCCUGGGCAUCGGAAGGCGAAGAAAGACGUGGCAAGCUGCGAUAAGCUCCGGGAAGCCGCUAAUCCAGCUCUGAUCC
rnacentral:misc_RNA from 1 species